GGACGAUACUAAUAUAGACCAUUCUUGAUGUCCGAGUCGCACCAUCCGGGUACCAUAUAGGAACCUUUCUGAAAUAUUUCCUAUUUAUAUUUUCAAAAAAUCUUAAUCCAGAACACGCUGAUGGAAAUCAAACCAUAAACCCUCACUGAACCUGACCUAAAACAACUAACUUCUAACAAAUAACAAAUAACAGUUUAUAUUGGUCAAGUAUCAAUUGGGAAUAAAACAAAUAACACUCGGGAAAUUUAAAAUUCUUCCUGAUAGGUAUUAUCUGAGUACUGAACCAGAAGUUCCUGAGACAG